ensembl:lncRNA
UCCCCUUUUAUUUAAUGUUCCUUUUCUGGCAGCUUCUCCUUUUUAUUUCUCUCCAAUUUAAAACACAGUUAAAAAGCUGUGGUUGAUUCCAAUUAAAUACCCCCUUUGGGAUUACUAAAACACACACACUCACACGCACACAAAGACCCCCUCUUUGAUUGUUUCCACGGCAACGUAUUUAAAUAUCUCAUUCACGGUGUCCAAGUGAAGAGCUGAAGGAUUUGGAGAAGCUCCUUCUUUUUCCACUCCCUCACCUCUCUCCUCCCCCAGUUACUCAUGCAAUGGCAGCAAUGGUUUGGCUGGAAUGCAGAGUGGAUGUGGAAGAUGUGAAUAUGCUUUGGAAUUCCAGAGGAGGAGCUGAGCCAAUAAUAUGUCCAACUAUAAUGCAGAACUGUUGUAAUUACUUAGGAACAGUGGGAAUGAUAGCAGAGUAUUGUCAGUAAUCGCACGUCAAAUUCUGCCAUUCCCUAAAAUAGGACAACCACAGAGCAACUCUGCUGGGACCCAUAGGGCUGUGUUGGCUCGGAGGUGGUUGGGAAAGAAGAGAAGGGGCUGAUCUUGGAGUUACCCAAAAGCAGUGGCAAACCAAAGGCAAGGAAACUGCAACUUGAAGAGUCAGACAUCAGAGGACGAAGUUGCCGCAUGUAUCCCAGCACUGCUAAACUUGUGGCUUAGAAACAAGAUGGAAAUAUUUCUGGACGACACUCAUUUCCCAAUGCUCCGUAGAGACCGCAGAACCUUGCAAAACAGUUCGCAUUCGUCAAUGUUUUAUUCCUAUGACUAAAACCCCGUGGGAUUUAAGUGUGCUUCUCCGUGUUGUCUGGCAAGGAAUUGGGUAAUGAAUGACCACGUUAGGAACCACUUGGCCAGAAAACAGAUGAGAACAACAUUGGUGAGCACUGUCUGAUCAUGAGGAGUGAGAUGAAGGAGGGAGAGAGAUGGAACACCGAUGGUUCAUUGCAGACUUACUUGGGAAACUCUGCAAAGAUGGCACUUUGUGCAUCUUUCUCCUUCACCCAUUUUAUUUCAUUUCUGGGCUGUCAUUUCAGCAACAUCUUUAACAAAUGAAAACCCUCUGCGCAGUCAAUAGUAAUUACAGGAAUUUAUCACAAUUGCCAAUCAAGGUGUGUUGGAAAGACUCAUCUUUCUCGUUUAAAUUAGCCUUCGCUGCGCACAGGCCACAAGUUAUCUUUAGGAAAUCAAUUGUGGGAAAAUUACAGCUUUUGUGGUGUUCUGUGACCUCAGCAGCCAUCACGCAGCUGAGUUCCCUCCCACCCUCCCCCCCCCAGCUGCUUGUGUGGCCUCGUACAGCUGUUUGCUGGGGGGUUUGGACCUCAGCACAAAGCCUGGAAUUGUUCUUCAUGCAUCUGGAGGCAGUGAGGGUGUCAGAUAAAAUGUAGGCAUGAUUCGGGCACUUUUGUAAAUGAACAGGAGGAGAGAAGGCCCUGGUCAGAUUUACACCUUUAUCUGUUUCACUGCUCCGAACCAGGCUGGCAGGAGUUCUGCCUUCGGCAGUGCUGAUGCAGCUCCCAUUGGAAAUGCAGACCAGGCUGACACAGCUCAGGGCAAAAUUCAGCUGUGCGUGGAGCUGCAAACGCCGUCUCCCGGAUGAUUAAUGCACAUUUGUAAGGAGUUUCUUCUCUGCUGAUAAUGCUGCCAUGAGGAAGGAUCUUCAGCUGCUAUAUAUCAGCCUGAGUUCUGACUGUAGGUGAGUACAGGUUUCCUCCUCCACUCCCACUGCUUCCCCAGAGACAGCGGUGUUUGCAGAGGCUUAAUAAAGCAGGAAAGAGAGCAGGUGUGAAAGGAAACAUCAAUUACCAUUAGCCCUGACAAUCCUGGACGAUCCCACCCAUGGCGAAGGUGCAAUGACAGUCAAUUCUGUGGUUCUUUCUAUGCAGAUAAGUGAAGUGCUUUCCUUUUCUGGUGAGGGUGAGGCUGGUGAGGGCACUGGGAUGGAGGAAGGUGUGGAUUUCUGUUUGUGAGGUCUGUGCUGUUGUUGUAACUGGACUGAGUUCAGACUUCCACAGGCAAUUCCUCCCCUGAAGACUCUGCAACCUGAACACAUGGGAGAACCAAUGGUUCUGCUGCACAGCACUCAUUAGAGAAGGGGAAUUCAUGGCCAGGUAUUCGAAGGUGCCCAGGAAUGGGUCUUCUGCUGGAGCAAACACUAGAGCCACUAGAGCUGAGCUGAGUUCCAAGUGGUUUCCAAAUACAGAGCGGGUUCUCCUGCUCUGAUGAGCUGCUUGCAGUGCUCAGGGCUCUACGUGCUGUCCCCAAAGGGGCGGCCUGAAGCCUCAGCAGCAGUCCUCAGUGCUGCUUCCUAAUUAGCACCCUCUUCCUCUGACUCGGACAUCUGCUUGCACUGAGUUUCACAGGUUCUUCAAUAGCUAAUGGGUGGUAUUUAUUUCCAUUCCUUUGGUGCCUUAAAUAUAACAAUAAUUCAGUGUAUCUCAUUUUGGGGGAAUGAAAGAUCACCCUUAUUUUCAGCUCAUUUUUUGUGUUUUAUUUCUCUCCCUUUUUUUAUUGAGCUCUGAACAUUAAUAAUCAGCCCUCAUUAACUCAGUUAAUUCUUCAAAUCCUCAUAUUCUUCAUGCCCAGCACCAUAAAGCCAAAGAAGGGACUAAUGAAAGCUGAAGAGAUGGUUAGAGUUAUUAAAAAUCAAUUUUUUUUUGUAUCUGGUAACCCUGGGGUGUUAAUAUUCUCAUCUCAUGUCUUCUCAGCCUCAUUCCUCCCACAGGAACUCUGGGUUUGCAGAGCGCAGGAGGACCUCAGUGCAGGAUAUUCAGGAGCCCUUUGGUUUUGAGGCCGUCCCAUGAUGUUACAGCACAUCUCCUGGGGGAGUUCUGAGGUCUCUGCAGUGCAGGAAGGAGAGUUUUGCAGUCCUGAAGACGGUCGUGCACUGCUGAGCACUGCAAUCAGCAUUAGAGGAGGGCAGGGUGAGGGUUGUGCAGGCACUGUUCCCUCUUGCGCAGGCAGAGCGCUGCUGGUAAGGGGCUGGGAGCAGCCUGAGCUCUGCCCUUCAGCUCAGAUUAGCGAUAAUGGAAAAUGCAGAACAUUAAACAGCGGCGUGAUUGCAUUGCGGAGGAGGACUGGCAAAUGGGUUCGUCCUGAUGCAAGGGUGUGAAAAAGGGGUCGCCGAGCUGAGUUUACUUCAGGCUUAAGAAGCGAGAGAAAUGUUUUUCAGGUUUUGCAACAAUUCAUUCCUGUCUUGUUUUUGAUCUGACUUCAUUCCCUCAGCGUGCCUCUCCUUUCAGCAGUGUCUUUAAUUCAUGAAUUCAUCUGCACGUCUUGUUUUCCUGAAUUACCCUUCCCAUUUCCUUUACUGGGGUGAAUCCGAAUGUCCCCCUCCAAACCAAAUGCUGCCCAUUGGAACACAGUCCUUGGUGCAGAGAUCCCUGUUGCUGUGGCAGGGCAGGGCUGCUGAGGAGGGAGGGAGGAGAAGGGGAGCAGCAGAGCCAGCAGAGCUGGUGAUGUGCAGCUGCAGAGCUCCCGCUGGGCACUGCCGGGCUGAGACUGGGCACCAUGGCAACCAGGAUGAUGCUCCUUGGAGUCCCUGAUCUGCUAAAUGGGUGGCAAUCUCGUUAUGAAAGGUGGAGAAAGGUGGUUUUUUCCCCAGCAUUUUCCUCCCCCUAAUGUUGACAAUGCACCAAGAGGAACAAAACACGCUUCUGGAGCACUCAGACCCACUGCCGUGGGAUGGGGUGGUGGUGUGGGUGGCCAUGCUGCUGAGCUGUGUUCCCUUCAGAGCAUCACUGCCUCCUGUGCUCACCCAGCGGGCGGCUCUCAGGGGGACCCCAUUGUGUAUGCUGCCCGGGUUCCUGCGGGAUUCGCUUUUAAAUCUCUUUUUCAAACAGAUAAUUAAAACAUAAUGGUGUUUACAUUACAGAUGGAGCUGAGAGAAAAAUAAUAAUAGUAAUAAUAAUCGUAAUAAACACUACUUUGCCACUCAGGGGAGUUUGUCAAAUGACUCUUACAGAGGCUUGGCGCACUUUAAUGAGUCUAAAGAAGAGGAUUUACGCUGAACAAACUCACUCCAUGGCGCACACGUGGCGGUGGGAUGAGGGAGCUCUCCGCAGUGCUGAACCUGCAGCAGGACGACAUGGAAGAAAAUAAAGGAAACGUGUCUAAAGAUACAACAAGAAACGAUGCCAGGAAGACCAAGGAAAACAGCAGUCCUUGCCCCCACAUGCUUAUUAUACCAACCACAUUCGCUUCUGUGGAUGCUAUCUCCAUUCUAAGCAAG